GGCUGGAGAGGCUCCUGAGCCACAGAACCAGAGAAGAGGAGAGUAAUGCCAGAGGAUCCCUAAGCACAGUUGUACAGGAAGCAUGAUGCUGGCAUCUGCUCAGCUUCUAGGGAGGCCUCAGGAAACUUAAAAUCAUGGCGGAAGGGAUGCAGCAGUUCACAUGGCUGGAGCAGGAGCGAGACAGAGAGUGGAGAGGUGCUGCACACUUUUAAAUGACCAGUUCUCGUGAGAACUCACUGUCAUGAGAACAGCAUCAAGAGGAUGGUGCUAAACCAUUCAUGAGAAAUCCACCCCCGUGAUCCAAUCACCUCCCACCAGGGCCCACCUCCAACACUGGGGAUUACAAUUUGACAUGAGAUUUGGGCGGGGACACAGAUCCCAAAC
rnacentral:lncRNA from 1 species